rnacentral:rRNA from 1 species
CGAGCGGUAAGGCCUUUCGGGGUACACGAGCGGCGAACGGGUGAGUAACACGUGGGUGAUCUGCCCUGCACUUCGGGAUAAGCCUGGGAAACUGGGUCUAAUACCGGAUAUGACCUCCUAUCGCAUGGUGGGUGGUGGAAAGAUUUAUCGGUGCAGGAUGGGCCCGCGGCCUAUCAGCUUGUUGGUGGGGUAAUGGCCUACCAAGGCGACGACGGGUAGCCGACCUGAGAGGGUGACCGGCCACACUGGGACUGAGACACGGCCCAGACUCCUACGGGAGGCAGCAGUGGGGAAUAUUGCACAAUGGGCGAAAGCCUGAUGCAGCGACGCCGCGUGAGGGAUGACGGCCUUCGGGUUGUAAACCUCUUUCAGCAGGGACGAAGCGCAAGUG